rnacentral:lncRNA from 1 species
CGAUGAAGGCUCUUCCAAUAAUGACGAUGAUGAUGAUGAUGAUGAUGAUGAUGAUGAUGAAGGCUCUUCCUCUUCUU